AACACACCAAACAAAACGUUAAAGUGAAUAUUUUACAACAAAGUUUUAAAUUUACUUAUAAAAUGGUCAUCACUAUGAAAACUUUAGUUCUGUUUGUUUUCACUACUUUUUUCAUCAUAUCUUUUGUUGAUUGUCAUACUACAACUAUGGCUACUACCCCUGCUAGUACUCCUGGUUAUGGAAUAAAUUGGGCGACUGUACUGUGCUUCAAGAUCUCAACGCCGUGUGAUUUAGCAGGGCGAUAUGGAUGCGCAAAGUUUUGUGACCAGUGGGAUUAUUUUUUUGACAGGUGUGAACCGGGUAAAUGUUGUUGUCACAGAUAAGUAGUAUGCGUUCAGAAUAAAAUAAUCUUAUAAAUGUAUUGGCAUUUGUUUGAAAGUAACAUCAACAACUUUCAUGCUUUAUUAUCAAUAUAUGAUCAAGAAAUGAAAUAAAUAAAAAUUAUUAGAUUGAAAUAGUUUGAUUCAA